rnacentral:rRNA from 1 species
GUGCCAGCCGCCGCGGUAAUACCGGCAGCUCAAGUGAUGUCCCAUCUUAUUGGGCCUAAAGCGUCCGUAGCUGGCCGCGCAAGUCUCCCGGGAAAUCCACCCGCCCAACGGGUGGGCGUCCGGUAGAAACUGGCCGGCUCGGAACCGGAAGGCUCAGAGAGUACGUCCGGGGUAGGAGUGAAAUCCCGUAAUCCCGGACGGACUACCGAUGGCGAAAGCACUCUGAGAAGACGGCUUCGACAGUGAGGGACGAAAGCUGGGAUCUCGAACCGGAUUAGAUACCCUAGUAGUCC